ensembl:lncRNA
CUCAGACGGUCGCAGCUCGAGGGAUUAAUGAGGAUGUCAGCAGGCUGCUCGCAUUGCUGCAGGGCUGGAGGGGCCGGGGGGGGUCAGCACUGGACCCUGCUGUGAUGGCAGCACCCCUGGGCCUGCCUGCCCCCCUCCACCACCGUCUGAGGGAAAUGGAUGGCUCAGGGGCUGUUUGUUUUGUAAGCGGUAUUUUCGCAGGGCCACCAGUCUGGCAGGCUGCAUCGAGCUGUGUUGGAGGCAGACAUACUGCAGGUUGUGCUUCAUCAUUUUUGUAUAUAAAUGAGGGAAAUUUGUGUCUCUCUUGGGGUGGCAUCACUGUGCAGCUCCCAUGAAGCCGUGCAUAGGCACACGAUUUGACCUCACACUUUCCUAUCCCAGCAGCCACCGCUUGGCCUCGCAGGCAUAGGUGUGGGGUGGGAUGCACUGGGCAAAGCCAGGGGCUCCUGGAAGCAUCCUGGGUGCCAGAUGCUCAUUUCUGCUGCUGCAGCCUCCAGAUAGCAAACAGGUAAUUGGGAGCAGAGCUAACAAUCCCUCUGGCUGCACCAGCCAUGCUGCAUGGCUGCAUUUGCUCCAAUAACCUCUUGUGUUCCUGCUGUUGGGUGCGCUGGGAGCUUGCAAUGGUGACCUGGAGUACAGCGCUUCCCAGCUGAAGGGGCCAAGCAGAGCUGUGGGUUUGCUCUGGCUGUUGGUCCUUGCAUGUGAGCCAUGGGGAUUCACAUGAAGCUGGCCAUGGAAGUGCUGUCCCCCACCUCAGCUGUCCCCUGCCCUUUCCCCAGCUGCACAGGAGCUCGCUGCUCACCACCUCUGUUCCGCAAGCACAACACGGAAGCUCCCUCCUGCUUUUCCAGCAGCUCUUUCCAGCACUUUUUAGGACCAUUGCUCUGCACAGGGCAAGAGGCAGCCCUCAGUUGGGCUCAGGAGGGUUCCCAGGGCAGGAAGGAGCCAAUGGCCCCACGGAGACGUGGGGAGCAGCCCCCCCUGGAGCCAGCAGUGUGUGCGGGGGCUCAUGGAGAGCCCGAGGGAAGCACAGCUGAGCCGUCACCUGUUGGAGCUCAGACGGCCACAGCUGCGCCUGCCGCUUUGAACACUCUGGAUUAGGCAGACGAGUGCCCCGCACGCACUUGUGCUCUGCAUGCCAAUGCCUUCCUCCUCCUCCUCCUCCUCCUCCUCCUCCUCCUCCUCCUCCUCCUCCUCCAGCCUCCCUCCUCCCAGCGCGCUGCUGGAGCCGCAUGCAUGGCACAGGGUCUCAAACUGACAGAGCAGUGGAGGCAUCUGCAAUGAAGAUAAGCCGACAAAACACUCAGUGCUUGAGGAGCUUCCUUUUUGCUUUUGGCCCCAGCAGGAGCAAAAUGCGGGGUCUCCAGGAGGUAUCUCAGCUCAUCCAUAUGGUUCAUCACCACCUGAGCUGCAAAGUGCUGCUCUGAGGUCAGGAUGUGCCAUCGGCCAUUCCAAGAGGAGGGGGAUCGCUCUGCCUCUGGGUUGUCAGAUUUUUGCCUUUUCAAAGCCUUCCUCCCUGUGCCAUACUUCUAAAAUCGCCCCGUCUCGCUAUCUGCUCCCCGUGCUCAUGCUUUGGGUCUGUUUAAGAGCAGGGCUGUAACAUUAAUGAGAUUUACGGCCGACUCUGGAGUGGAAGGGCAGAGAGCCGGGUGUUUUUUUCUUUUUCCUCAGGUGAAAGAAAACCUCGAAUGUUAACUCACGAGACAUUACAACGACUGCUCCUUCAAUCCUUGAUUUACGAGCUCAAAUUUAUGAGUUAAAAAUUAUUAUUCCACUCGCAUAUAUUUUUUCCCCUGGUCGUUUUAGUGCUUGUGAAAGGUGAGGGUUUUGACAGCUCCUGGAAACAAAAGCCUUUAAUAUCUCCCUGAGCGAGGCUCUCCCAGGCCAGAAGAGAUCUGCCAGUGGCUUUUCCUCGCCGCCGCAGAUAUUGCUCGCUCCGGUCCCGGCUUAUCCAAACAGAGCGGGACUUUAGCAGGAGAUAAGGAAGGGCUGAUGAGGAGCGUCUGUCCUUCGUGCCUCCGGGAUCCUCCUCCGCAUCCGGAGUCAGGCUGGAGACAGCAGCUGCCACAAGGAUGCCCGCCACAGCUUUGUUUUGGGGCUUUCUUUUUUCCAGGCAUUUUAGCAGGGGCUAUAUGGGAGCCCUGCUUCUGGUGCUUGCAGCAAAUGGGUAACAUUGGGCGUAGAACUGAGUUUUUAGUAAAUAAGUUGUGUAUUUCCCGAGCGCCAUGAGCAUCACACUGCAGUGAGCUGUGCCUGCUCGCCCUCCUCCUCCAGGGCAGCUCCAGGUCUUCAUGGUCCUAUUGGAAAAACUUCUUCUCCAGAAGAGCAGUCGGGCACUGGCACUGCUCCCCAUGUGGUGGGGUCACCGUCCCCAGAGGUGUUCCAGAACCACAGGGAUGUGGCACUCAGGGACGUGGUCGGUGGGCAUGGUGGGAUCUGAGAGGGCUUUUCCAACCUGAAUGGCUCUGUGAUUCUGUGAUGAAGGACCCACCCCAUCCCCAAGCAGUACCAGCAGCUCAGGCUGAACCAAGCUGGCAGCGGCCUUUAAAAGGUGCCGUCCAUUAAAUGCCAGGGAGCAAAUACAUCCUCUUUUAAGCACAUGUCAAACAGUGUCUUAGAGAGCCCAGGGAUUAAAACCUUCAUGGAGCUCAGGAAAUAGUGCCAGAGCCCCUGCUGCAUUUCAUUAGAGUACAUUUUGACGCAGCUUGCCUCAUUCAAUAACAAUUUAGCUGACCAAAGACUGAAUCCAAAAGGACGAGUAACUCUGGCAUUUUGUUGCAUUUUCAUUUUCAGCAUUUUCUCAUGUUUGCCAUCCGCUGCCACAGCAAUGGAAAGGUGGUGGUGGUGGUCGUGGUGUGCUGGAGGGAAAGUGGGGGCUUCAGAAAGCAGCUGGGAGUGAUGGGCUGCUGUCCCCAUGCUGCAGAAGAUACUUCUAGGUUUACUGGUCAGGAAAACAAAAUGUUGGGGUUUGGGCUGUUGGAAUGCCAAAGCAGAAAGGCCGUGUUUGAGCCACUUGAGUUUGAGAGUGGAAUAUUUGGGUGUGGAAUAUUUGAGCAUCGCAUGGACAGAGUCUGCAGGCAGUUCUCCACGUGAGUUCUUAUGGGGCUGGUCUGCCCUGGGGUGCGUUUUUGUCCCAUUCUGUGCCCAGGGGCAGACCAGAUGUCCCACUUGUUGCAUCCUGCUUCCUUCGGGGGCACAAGGAGUUUGAGGCAGAACAAGUGCUGCUGGGUGUCCAGCUUCACGCCUCCCUGUCCAUGCCUGUCCCCUCCUGUCUUCCCACAGAGCACACUGAGGGAUCCCUGAGAUCCAGCACAGCCCCUGUAUUCUCUAUCCACACACCACAUGCAUCGCAUGGACCUCUCCUGUCCAUGGGAUUCCUGGUGCUGGAUGAGCCGGGGCUCAGGGCCGGGUGAUGUGAAGCUGUGAGCGAAGCUGCUGAGAUCAGGUGUGGGCAGGAGGGCUCUGGGCUGGCUGUGCAGUCGGGUCCAAACCAGACCCAACACGUGCAUCAUCCACAGGAGCAGGCAGCCAGCGUUCCCACCGCGCGUGUCACGGUUCCCAGGAUAACCAAGGCAUCCAUACAAACAAAACACAGAAACCCUCCGUCUCUCCGGAGACAAGUCACAAACAGAGAGCCAGGCCAAGCCCAUUGAUGGAGCUGCACGCAGUGAAUCACCCACCCAGCUGCAGCCGAAACAAUUUGGGUCAAAUAUGCACUCUGGCGGAACUCCACUGCCUUAUCUUGUGCUUUGCUUGCUGCACCUCAGCUCAAGGUUUGCUUUGCAGUGCUUUCAGCUGGCUGCAAAGUGCUCGGUGCUGAGGGUGGGCACUGCUUGUGCUGUUACCUGCUUGGAUGCUUUUAUUCCUGCUAAUGAUGACGGCAUUUUCCUUCCUGGCUGACGUUCCCUGCAGCUGAGCACAGAGGAUAGAGACAUUCACAAGGAGCUGCACUGAGCUCUGCCUGUUCCCAGGGGCACUGAAGAGCACUCAGACCCCCAGCAGCCGUGGAAGGGGACCAGGACCUUCCUAGUGCGGGGCUGGGGCUGUGCCCACCUCCAUGCAGGGCUGCAGUGAGCUCCAGGCACAGCUCCUGCUCCAUGAGUGCGGACCCAGGGGACUUGCCUCCAAGAUUACAUCAGUAGCAUGAGGAUGCUGAGUGUACUGUCUGGGAAUCUAGAAGAUGAGGGCUGUUCUGUUGUGUGUUUUUUUUUUCUUUGAGAUUAUGUAUAUGACAAAAUAUGUUCUUCUGAGUCUCUCUUUUGGGCUGCUUGCAGAAGGGAUGUGCUGCAAUAGGAACACUGCGUGGUUCGCUCAUACCUGGGGCAGUUUUGUUUGGUGGGAUAGGAGCAGGGCUGGGCUUGAGGCUUCUGCCCAGUUUGGUCCCAGUGGUACAAAUGGAAACUACAGGGAGGGACGUGCACAGUGCUGCCCUCUCUGCUGACAGGGUCGUGGCAGGAGCUGGGCUGCACUGGGAUGCUGUGCAUGGGAGUACUACUGUGAGGAUGCUGUAAGCAACAAAAAGCUCAACAUGGCUUUAUUUGUGCUGUGCAGAUCUCCUUGGAGCUGUUUAUGGAGGUUGGGCAGCAAAGGCUGCCCAGAGGCUGUGAGUGCCCCAUCCCUGGAAGUGCCUGAGGCCUUGGAUGGGCCCUGGGCAGCCUGAGCUGGGUGCAGCCAGCCCAUGGCAGGGAUGGGGCUGGGAGAUCCCUUCCAAUCCAACCAUUGUGUGAUUGUAUGAAAGAUUUCAGUAGAUAUGGGACGCAGCUUUGUACAACAAGAGAAUGUGGUGUUUCCAGCUUCUUAGCAGAGGAUUUUACCCCAUGAGAAAGAAUGAGGUGGAAGGUUGGAUAUUAGGAUAAGCUGCUUCUCCCAGAGAGCAGUCAGGCACUGGCACUGCUGCCCAGGGAGGUGAGGGGGGUUACUGUCCCUGUGUAUGGGAACUGUUGAGUCACAGCCUGAACCACUGAUUGAUCACCUGGGGAAAGGACCCGGUCAGCCCUGGGAGCACAGGUGAAGGCAAUUCAGCUGUGAAUGGAAGGGGUGGAGCCUGGCUGCACCUCUCUUAGACCUCACUUAAGGGCUGACCAGCAGUGGGGUAGGGCCUCUUUCUGGGGAUCUCCCCCUGGUGGAGCUUUCUUUGUAAACCUGGAAUCUUCUGAUAUGGCUCCGAGCUCCGCCAUGACCCAGAUGUUUAGAUGCUGAUGCCGAAAAGGAAAAUAAGAGCCACGGAGAGAAAGCCAAAGGAGUGGGAUGUGGUGUGAAAUGUGCAUCCAGAAAGCUGCUCUGAGCUGGGUUGGCUUGCCUGGCUUUUGCAGUCGGGGAAAGGAGUCAGUGAGGAAAACUGGGACUUAAUCUUAAUUCAAUGGGCACUGCGAGGGCUGCCGGCCCAACUGCACGUCCCCUUCCAUGCAACUGCUCAGCGUUGCUGCAAGAUUCUGUGCAUGCUCAGCCUUGAAUGUACUCUGGGUUUGUUAUCAUCAGGAUAUUUUUUUUCUGCCAGUUCUCCUUUUAUCACCUCUCUGUUACUGAGUACUGUUUUUGUGACCUUACCACAAUUAUCAGUGUGUGUUCAUCGUUUUGCUCUUACAGCUACCUUUAUUCAGAGGGAGGGGAGCUCCUUGGGUGCAUGUGGG